AAGGCUUUAAGUUAAAAAAACUAAUAGCCUUCAAAGCUAUAAAUAUAAGAUAAAUCUUUUAAGCCUUA
rnacentral:tRNA from 1 species